rnacentral:lncRNA from 1 species
AUGGUUGGCACCAUUCUGACUGUCAGACACCUCCAUUGCAAGGAAGCUGCUUCUGGCACUGUUCCCUGUUUGCCCCUUGCAAUUUUCUCAGUGACCACUGGCCCCACCAAGAUGAAGCCACCUGCCUGCUUUGCCAGUCCCCAGGAUGAACGCAUCAGCGUGCAGCGUACAAUAGGCAGGAGACAGCUGGAGAAAUGCAACAGAAGAUCUCAGGUCACAGAAUCCAAUCUGACAACAUACACACAGAUUUGUAACAAAACUGGUCUCAUAAGACCAUGGAACCCUCUAAAAGCAGCAUUUCUGUCCUCUUCUGUCGUCUGCCUCUUGGCUUUUGCAGCUUGCUCUGUUUUCAUCUAUGAUGGAUUUAGAGAUGUUUGGCAGAAAAUGGCAAGAGAUUAUCCUACGUACAGAUACGCCUGCUGAAAACAAUCAAUGAAUUAAAAAUAACCACGGACUGCAACUGACCUUUCAUAUAACCCGAUAUAUCCCCAUAUUUAUGACAUGCCUUAAUUAUGAUUAGCAUUUGUCUUAAUGAAAACAGCGGCAGAGCACAAUAUUUAGCAUUUGGUUUAUAUUAUUUACAAUUUCAGCAUUCUGUUUACAGAGGUUUACAAUCCCCAGCCUGGAAAUCCUACUCAGAUGAGCAACUCAAUCUUAUGUAAGGAUUCUGACUGAGAGCCGCAGGACUGGUUCUUUAAUUCUCAUCUAAACACAAGAUGAACGGGUACACAAAUAUAUGGAUCAGUUUAGGUAGUGGACGCAUCCUUACUGGAGACAGCCUGUCUGCUAUCUGCAAAGGCUUGAUUAGCAGAUGAGUACCAUAAUGCUAAAUGCAAAGUCUUGACGGGAUCCGAGAGCUCUGCAGUACUUCUGAUGGAAGCACAGUACAACCAGCAUCACACUGCACAGACCGAUCCCUCCCCAGAGACAAACGUGUUCACCACCGUAGCACCGCUAUCUGCAUAAAAACAUUUUGCAAUAUUAUGUUGUAAAUGUUCAUUCUACUCAGUACAAAGGUCAAAGACAAGAACGUAUUAAAUCUGAGUUGAGCUCUAAGUGAGGGUAUACACAUAUACGUUUUAUCUAUCCUAAGUCCAGUUUUGAAGUAGAAUUAUCGUGGUAAUGUACAGCCUAGGCAAUCUGAUUUAUAAAACACAAUUUGUUCAUUUUGAUAUUAAGUAAGGGGAGAAGUGCAACUAUGAAACAUACUUCUGUGGCUAGCAACUUGUUUAGUUUUGAAAAUCAUAUUCUGUUCGUAGGUAUCAAGGUACUAUUUGGAGGGAUUUGUAAAUAACAAAUCUUAAAAAUGCAUGAAAUAAAUAUUAAGUGUCAUAUAAAAACA